ACAAAAAAGAGUUGCCACAACCCCGCUGAUUUUGUGAUUCCUUUCUCCGCUGAUUUGGUGAUUCCUUUCUCACAAGCUUCGUGACCACAAAGUUGCCGCCACAAACCUCCGACUCCGGCUAGAUCCAGUGCUCUUCUGCGCCGCCGCUCACCAGCCCAUUCCCCCUUACUGUUUUCCUCUGUUCCUUUGUCGCGGGCUUGCGGCGAGUUCCUCCGCGCCGCCGCCCAACCUCCCGGCUCCUCUUUACUGCUUUCCUCCGAUCCCCAGUCGCCGCGACGUCCUCCGCUCCCCUGCGCACCCGCUCAUGGUCUCAGGAACCACUCACUGCUCUCGUCCAAUCCAUUGCUACGGCGACGCCAUCCACGCCCCUGUACGCGCCCCCGCAGGAACCCUAGCCGCCAUGGUGGCUAGCGCGUCUCCCAUGCCUCCUCUCGUUUGUUUGCCCACUACCCUGCGUAUCCGCGCGCGCGGCUGCCGGCUCGGGCUAUACUGUGUUGUUCCACAUCGAGUCCUCGACUACCUCGACUGACGCCAGACGGUUCAGUAAGGCCCUCCUCCUUCGAAUAUUGUUUGUACAAUGACGAGAUAAUGGGAACUAUCCCGGAUCAAACAAAUCGAGCACUUCUUUCAUUUUUCUAAUAGAUUUGUUCAACAUAUAUUUGACAAAUUUACCCUGUUUCGUAAAGAUUAUAUAACACAGUAAGUUUCAUGGAGGAAGUUCACAUUCCAAUGGGUUUUAUCUACAGGCUGCAGAGACAACAACGCUUCUGUGGUUACAGGCUCAAAAUUCCCACCUAUAAGAUCCCCUGUGUUAUUACUAUAUCUGAUACCUUUAUGUUGCACCAGAGAUCUUCUCUAAUAGCAGCCAAUUACAACAAUUUGCAGUAAGUCAUAAAUGUAACAUCUAGAAGCAUGUUGUCACCCCAGUUUUAGAUGUUCAUAGGCGGACUUUUUUCUUCUGUGGUUGAGCGAUUCACCAUUUGUAUGUACUCUGUACCUGUUCAUUCAGGAAUAUUUUUUUACCUUUUCAUUAAUAGUUCUUUCUUGUGAUGCAUUAGGCUCUAAUUUUCUUGAUUCUACGUGCAUGGAUAAUUGUCCAGUAUUUUUGUGAGGAGGAUCUUGGUAGAUUAGUUAAAUAAGUCGACAGUAUCUCCAAAUAUCCUAGUUAAUAGCCUAUGACCAUGUCAUAAAAGAACAUUUCUUCAAGUAUCAGUUAAUAGGCAAGUACUAUUAUCUAUAACAUCAUGAUUUUCAAGAGGCAAAAAAAUCUCAUUAGCUUUAUCAAUCCUUACUGAUUUCUGUUACACGCUUCUGUAGUACUAUAGGAAUAAGCCCACAUGCAUCUCUUUGUCCUAACAUUUCUUUUUAUUGUAUAAUCUUUAGUUUCAUCUUCCCUCGCAGGUUCUGAAGUUGACUAUGUGCUUCAGCCAACACGUGUUUGUUUGUUCUUUAUCUUAACAGUUUCUGGUCUGAACGAGUGGUGGAUAUUCAGAACUUGUGCAAGUCGCAACUGAGAGAAUAGAAUGUUGUCAGUUUACAGAAAUGUUCAAGACUUCAAGUCUCUGUGUUUGUACUUCCUAGCAUGGUGAUGUCCCUUCUGCUGGUGUUUAUUAUGAUGAUUCAUAUAGCUGCCAAGAUAUAUUCAAGAUGCACGGACAUUGAUUGCAAGGUCAAGAAUGGCAAUUUUACUAGAUAAUUAGAAUGUCAUUUUGAAGUGUAAUGUUUCAAACAGUAAGCUAACUGAAUGAUCAAGAAUUAGGCUAGUACUAGAUGGUUUCAGAUAUGUAAUGCUUGUAUCGUGUUCUUUGUAAUGCAAUACAUCAUGUUUAAUAUAUUAUGGGGAUUCCUGCUUA